UACGAGUGCCCCAAGCGUUAUCCGGAAUCAUUGGGCGUAAAGGGUGUGUAGGUGGUGCGCUUAGUCUCCUGUCAAAAUCUCGGGCUCAACCCGAGACUCGCGGGGGAAACGGGCGCACUUGAGGGUGCGAGGGGUGAAUGGAACUCAUGGAGUAGGGGUGAAAUCCGUUGAUAUCAUGGGGAACACCAAAAGCGAAGGCAAUUCACUGGCGCAUUCCUGACACUGAGACACGAAAGCGUGGGUAGCGAACGGG
rnacentral:misc_RNA from 1 species